UAGAACGGAAAUACCCGGGAGGUGUGGAAG
rnacentral:piRNA from 1 species